rnacentral:rRNA from 1 species
GAGUUUGAUCGUGGCUCAGGACGAACGCUGGCGGUAUGCCUAAUACAUGCAAGUCGAGCGCAGGAAGCAGACUGAAGCCUUCGGGUGGAUGUCUGUGGAAUGAGCGGCGGACGGGUGAGUAUCACGUGGGUAACCUGCCUGUAAGCUUGGGAUAACUCCGGGAAACCGGUGCUAAUACCAGAUAAGAUUUCCGUUCGCAUGAACGGAAAAUGAAAGGCGGCUUUUGCUGUCACUUACAGAUGGACCCGCGUCGCAUUAGCUAGUUGGUGGGUAAAGGCUCACCAAAGCAACGAUGCGUAGCCGACCUGAGAGGUGAUCGGCCACACUGGGACUGAGACACGGCCCAGACUCCUACGGGAGGCAGCAGUAGGGAAUCUUCCGCAUGGACGAAAGUCUGACGGAGCAAUACCGCGUGAGUGAUGAAGGUCUUCGGA